AUACCGUGCACCCGAUUUAUGCCCUGUUCAGCAUGCCCUUUGGUGUGUGUGACGUGAAAAAUCUCUCGUGGGAAUAUGGUAGAGAAAAAAUGUCAACCAUAGACAGAAGCCUAGACUCACCCCCUUUCAUUGCCUCUGAAGCCCAUCCUGUAGAGUGCUACAACCGCUGCUCCUCCGAGACCAAUGUUAUGCUGAAGAGCUAAUUUUGCCCCAGGCACUUGACGUUUGCCCGCUUCACCACGCAGCUGCCAACACAACUCGGCACACUGCGCAAGGCC